AUGCACGCUGGCGGCGUGCCUAAUACAUGCAAGUCGAGCUAACGGACGAGAAGCUUGCUUCUCUGAUGUUAGCGGCGGACGGGUGAGUAACACGUGGAUAACCUACCUAUAAGACUGGGAUAACUUCGGGAAACCGUAGCUAAUACCGGAUAAUAUUUUGAACCGCAUGGUUCAAAAGUGAAAGACGGUCUUGCUGUCACUUAUAGAUGGAUCCGCGCUGCAUUAGCUAGUUGGUAAGGUAACGGCUUACCAAGGCAACGAUGCAUAGCCGACCUGAGAGGGUGAUCGGCCACACUGGAACUGAGACACGGUCCAGACUCCUACGGGAGGCAGCAGUAGGGAAUCUUCCGCAAUGGGCGAAAGCCUGACGGAGCAACGCCGCGUGAGUGAUGAAGGUCUUCGGAUCGUAAAACUCUGUUAUUAGGGAAGAACAUAUGUGUAAGUAACUGUGCACAUCUUGACGGUACCUAAUCAGAAAGCCACGGCUAACUACGUG
rnacentral:rRNA from 1 species